CGAAGAGGUCCUGUGGGGUGGGGCAAGCUGGUGUGGGCGUGGUCGUGGUGGCACAAGUGAGAGAGGCUGGCCAAGGUGGGUGGCCGCCUGCUGGGUCAGGUCCUCCUUCUGCCGUGCCCUGGCUAGGAAGCCCGAGGGGCGUGGACACCCGAGUUCCCAUCUCUUCUACAUUGCGGACGACCUCAUUUGGCCAGGACAUCCACGUGGCCUUGUGUCCCACAGUAUCUGGGGUUUCUGGAACCUUGCAGGGUAGCCCCCACUUCAUCCCAGAUGCAGACUUUGUCACCCUUGAAGAGCUCAGGCCACAGGAAGGAGCCAUGAAGAUCCAUGGCCACUGAAAGGAUGGGGCUGUGAGGUGGAAUGAGGGUGCCAAGAGGGGCCCUGUGGCCAGGUAAAGCCUCACGGCACGGCCAGGUACGUGCGGUGGCCCCAACUCUCUUGCCUGUAUGCUGGAGUCAUGCUCCGUGGUACACGCUGGGUUAGUGCCUGUCCUAAGUGGAAGCUGCCCCAUAGCCUUGCCACUAAAACACGGAACCACAGCAAGGCCUCACUGGGCCCCUGAUGGCCAGGAAGCACACAGCUUUUUCUCUCUCUCUCUCUCUCUCUC
rnacentral:lncRNA from 1 species